AGAAGCGUGGCUUAGUGGAUAAAGCACUGACCUAGGAGUCAGAAGGACCUGGGUUCUAAUCCCAGCUCCACCA
rnacentral:tRNA from 1 species